rnacentral:rRNA from 1 species
UACGUAGGUGGCAAGCGUUGUCCGGAUUUACUGGGCGUAAAGGGCGCGUAGGCGGCGUGUUAAGUCACUUGUGAAAUCUCUAAGCUUAACUUAGAACGGUCAAGUGAUACUGAUGUGCUAGAGUGCAGAAGGGGCAACCGGAAUUCUUGGUGUAGCGGUGAAAUGCGUAGAUAUCAAGAGGAACACCUGAGGUGAAGACGGGUUGCUGGGCUGACACUGACGCUGAGGCGCGAAAGCUAGGGUAGCAAACGGG